rnacentral:tRNA from 3 species
GGGGAGAUGGCAGAGCGGUCGAAUGCAGCGGUCUUGAAAACCGCCGGGCGCGCAAACGUCCCGGGGGUUCGAAUCCCCCUCUCCCCGCCA